rnacentral:misc_RNA from 1 species
GAGUCCAUUCAUGUCUCAAGUCUGGA